GAAUGGCCACUCUACCAAGAGAUUUUGAUGACUCCUCUAUCCAACAGUGUGGCAGGAUGGCAUAUUCUUGUUUCACUUGGGCAGUGACAAUUACAAUGAACUUGCCACUUGAGAAGUUACAUAUAUUCACGAGUAUGGCGGCUUUUUGAAUUUCUACAUUUUGAAGCCCAUUUGGUUUGCAUGCUACAAUUCGUGCACAUGCUGGAAGAACAAUUCUUUAUAGUAAGCAGAUAAGUGAAUGGCCACUCUGCCCGAGAGAUUUUGAUGACGACUCUAACCAAUUAGAAGAGGGAAAGAUCCAUGACAUACUCCAACAGUGUGGCAAGAUGGCAUAUUCUUGUUUCAAUUGGACUGUGACAAUUACAAUGAACUUGCCACUUGAGAAAAUACAUAUAUUCACGAGUAUGGUGGCUUCUUAGAAGUUUUUUCAAUUUCUAUAUUUUGGUUUCUUCCAUGCCCUAUAUAUAUACUAAACAAGGGAUCUUUUUACUAAAUAGAACUCCUGACAGUUCAUCCACCUAUCAAAUCUUAUCUGUUAUCAUGGCCUCACCUAGAGGCUAGAGCCCUUUGUUCCAGUGACUUCAACACUUCAAUGAUUGCUAAGCCUUCUUCUCUUGUCAAUCUUGUUUUCCUAAGAGGCCAACCAGUUUGGGUGCUCCAAUUCAUACAAAAGUUUGAAGGAUACUAGCUUACAGUGAGCGGAUAAGGCAAUGAACGACCUGAAGUUGACAAAUUUGCUAGAAUCUCAGGACGUUAAAAGCUAAUUGCAUCUGGAUGUGAGGUGUGGUAGUCAGUGGAGAAAUCAUUGCUACCUAAAUAAAAGACUCCAAUCUGGAAAAUUGGUGACCUAAUCUGCUACAACAAUAGAAUGUGUUCUCUAAAUCCUGACUUAGAUAUUAAAGCCUCAUAUUUGAAAUGGUAUGUACGUGGCCCAACAUUUCUUAGGCUUUUAGCAUGGUUAGUUGUUAUAUGCAUGAUCUAAGGAAGGGCCAUUUGCAAGCUGCUAUAUGGAUCUUGAGAUGAUUUGGGUUUGAAGUUUAAGAGAGAUGAAUCUUUUAGAAGACACAUUGAUUCAGACUAUGUCAAGGAUCUAGAUAAGCACCAUUCUACUAUGAGCUACUUACAUUUGCAAAAGCAUUGGUGAGUUGGAGGUUGAUACUGCAGUAGGCUAUUGCAUUGGUAACCACUACAGCUGCAUGCAUGGGUUUGAUUGUAGUCAAAAGGGGGCUCUUUGGCUACAUGGUUUGAUUGAAGACUUGAAAAUUCAUCGUAAGCACAUUUGUCUAUUUUGUGAUGGUCAAGAGUUCCAUUCAUUUAGAAAAAGACCCAAGUCCGUUACUCUUGAGCUCAGCAUGUUGUUGAUAAGGAAGCUAUUCUUUUCAGAAGAUUAGGAUUGCAGAGAAUUUAGCUAACAUGAUGACUAAGCCAGUACCUUUGCACAAGUUCAAGUACUACUUUGAUUUAAUCCUAGUGUGAAGUUUGCAACCGUCACUAGGGGCUUUGGUGGAGACAACGAAGAAAUUUUAUUUGUGAGCUUUGAUCAAAAGAUUUGUUGUCACAGGGACAUGGCCUCAAGUCCAUCAAGACUUGAACUCGACAGUGUUCAGUUUUCUUCUUGGUUUUUUUCAUUCCUAUUACAUGUUUAGAGAUUUUAAGCCUGUAAAAGUUUUUAUAAUCUUGUAUGAAAGUGCUAUAUGCCCUUGCCCACAUCAGUUAUUUGUGAAAUAAGUUUCUAUAUCUACAGAAUAAUUUACCAUCAAUCAUCACCAUUUCAAAAUCAA